CAUUCUUAGGUUGGAGCUCGGUACCCAAUGCAACAGUUGCUGGAGACGGGGUCUUGAACAAAAAGUCAUCAUAGUGUAUAACUGUGAUGUCAUAGGUGGGGCCCCAAAGCAAAAGCACUGGUGUCUAUUUAAAAACAGGCAGUUGGCCGCUGAGGAGGAAGAACAACCCCUUGCCCUGCCUUGAGCCCUGCUGGACUCAGGGCAGCCCCAUCCUCAGACCUACGUUCUGCAUGGACUCAGCACAAGGAAGGAAAAGGCCUUAGCUGUCCUGUAAACUACAUCAGACCUGCUUGGAAGAGCCUGGGGCUGGCGCUGCCGGGAAAGCUCCCUUGCUGUGACCUGGUGAGCCACCCAGAGAGUUGCCGCCCACUUCAGCAUCUCCUGUUAACUGAACACCUCCAGGUUCCCAGGGCCACUGCAGGAUCUUAGGUUUCAGCAGACAGCAAAACAGACCCUCUGCUUCCCUGCCUGUCCUGUCUGUACUUCACUAGAGCAGUGGCUCUCAACCUCCCUAAUUCUGCAGUGCUUCAAUACAUUGAGGAGGCCCCUAAUCAUAAA